AGUGAACGCUGGCGGUAGGCCUAACACAUGCAAGUCGAACGGCAGCACAGUAAGAGCUUGCUCUUACGGGUGGCGAGUGGCGGACGGGUGAGGAAUACAUCGGAAUCUACUUUUUCGUGGGGGAUAACGUAGGGAAACUUACGCUAAUACCGCAUACGACCUACGGGUGAAAGAAGGGGAUCUUCGGACCUUGCGCGAUUGAAUGAGCCGAUGUCGGAUUAGCUAGUUGGCGGGGUAAAGGCCCACCAAGGCGACGAUCCGUAGCUGGUCUGAGAGGAUGAUCAGCCACACUGGAACUGAGACACGGUCCAGACUCCUACGGGAGGCAGCAGUGGGGAAUAUUGGACAAUGGGCGCAAGCCUGAUCCAGCCAUACCGCGUGGGUGAAGAAGGCCUUCAGGUUGUAAAGCCCUUUUGUUGGGAAAGAAAAGCAGCAGGUUAAUACCCCGCUGUUCUGACGGUACCCAAAGAAUAAGCACCGGCUAACUUCGUG
rnacentral:rRNA from 1 species